GGGAUUGUAGUUCAAAUGGUAAGAGCCCAUCCUUCUAUGGUUGAAAGCUACGGGUUCGAACCCCGUCAAUCCCU